CGGUAAUUCCAGCUCCAAUAGCGUAUGCUAAAAUUGUUGCGGUUAAAACGCUCGUAGUUGUACGUUCCUGCAGGGCACUCGGAUUUUUCGUACAGAAGGUUCCGAGUGGUCUGUGAAAUUAUCUUACAAAGCGGUCUCUUGCUGAGCACGCGGAAAGGGAUACUUGUACCUUGAAGAAAUUAGAGUGCUUCAAGCAGAUUAUUGUCUGAAUAUUAUAGCAUGGAAUAGUUGGAGAAGACACUGGUUCUAUUAGAGAUUUGUAGAGCAGGUGUAAUAGUUGAGAGGAACAGAAUGGGGCAUUCAUAUUCGCAUGUGAGAGGUGGAAUUCUUGGAUCUUGCGAAGGUGGACUACUGCGAAAGCAUUUGUCAAGAAUGCUUUCAUUAAUCAAGAACGAAAGUUAGGCGAUCGAAGACGAUUAGAUACCGUCCUAGUCUUAACCAUAAACCAUGCCUUUUGGAGAUCAGGUGAACCUCGAACGCAGAGGAUUCUGGCAUCCUAGGGGAAACUAAAAUUUUUUGGGUUCCGGGGGGAGUAUGGUCGCAAGACUGAAACUUAAAGGAAUUGACGGAAGGGCACCACCAGGAGUGGAGCUUGCGGCUUAAUUUGACUCAACGCGAGAAAUCUCUCCAGGUCCAGACAUGGGAAGGAUUGACAGAGAAGCAGCUUUUUCUCGAUUACAUGGGUGGUGGUGCAUGGCCGUUCUCAGUUGGUGGGGUGAUCUGUCUGUUUGAUUCCGAUAACGAACGAGACCUCGCCCUACUAAAUAAUUAGCACUUUGCUGUAAGUGAUGAUUUCUUAGAGGGACUUUUCGUGUCCAACGAAAGGAAGUAUGAGGCUAUAACAGGUCUGUGAUGCCCUUAGAUGUUCUGGGCUGCACGCGCGCUACACUGACAUAGACAGAGAGAUGUUCCUAUCCGAGGGGAGUGGAGAAACUUGAGAGGAUAUGUCGUGAUGGGGAUAGUUUAUUGCAAUUAUUGAACUUAAACGAGGAAUUCCUAGUAAGCGUAUGGAAUGAACUUACGCUGAUU
rnacentral:rRNA from 1 species